GACGAACGCUGGCGGCGUGCUUAACACAUGCAAGUCGAACGGAAAGGCCCCUUUGGGGGUACUCGAGUGGCGCACGGGUGAGUAACACGUGAGUAACCUGCCCUUGACUUCGGGAUAACUUCAGGAAACUGGGGCUAAUACCGGAUAGGAAUCCUUGCUGCAUGGUGGGGGUUGGAAAGCUUCGGCGGUUUUGGAUGGACUCGCGGCUUAUCAGCUUGUUGGUGGGGUAGUGGCUUACCAAGGCUUUGACGGGUAGCCGGCCUGAGAGGGCGACCGGCCACAUUGGGGCUGAGAUACGGCCCAGACUCCUACGGGAGGCAGCAGUGGGGAAUAUUGCACAAUGGGCGGAAGCCUGGUGCAGCAACGCCGCGGGCGGGAUGACGGCCUUCGGGUUGUAAACCGCUUUCAGCAGGGGCGGAGCUUGUGGUGACGGUACCUGCAGAAGAAGCACCGGCUAACUACGUG
rnacentral:rRNA from 1 species